UACGUAGGGGGCAAGCGUUGUCCGGAAUCAUUGGGCGUAAAGAGCUCGUAGGUGGUUUGUCGCGUCGUCCGUGAAAACUUGGGGCUCAACCCCAAGCUUGCGGUCGAUACGGGCAGGCUAGGGUUCGGUAGGGGAGACUGGAAUUCCUGGUGUAGCGGUGAAAUGCGCAGAUAUCAGGAGGAACACCGGUGGCGAAGGCGGGUCUCUGGGCCGAUACUGACGCUGAGGAGCGAAAGCGUGGGGAGCGAACAGG
rnacentral:rRNA from 1 species